rnacentral:rRNA from 1 species
AGCGAACGCUGGCGGCAGGCCUAACACAUGCAAGUCGAGCGCCCCGCAAGGGGAGCGGCAGACGGGAGAGUAACACGUGGGAACGUACCCUUCAGUUCGGAACAACCCAGGGAAACUUGGGCUAAUACCGGAUACGUCCGUAAGGAGAAAGAUUUAUCGCUGAAGGAUCGGCCCGCGUCCGAUUAGCUAGUUGGUGAGGUAACGGCUCACCAAGGCGACGAUCGGUAGCUGGUCUGAGAGGAUGAUCAGCCUCACUGGGACUGAGACACGGCCCAGACUCCUACGGGUGGCAGCAGUGGGGAAUAUUGGACAAUGGGCGCAAGCCUGAUCCAGCCAUGCCGCGUGGAUGAUGAAGGCCCUAGGGUUGUAAAGUCCUUUCGGCGGGGAAGAUAAUGACGGUACCCGCAGAAGAAGCCCCGGCUAACUUCGUGCCAGCCGCCGCCGUAAGAC